GACAGAGGGUGCUAGCGUUGUUCGGAAUUACUGGGCGUAAAGGGCGCGUAGGCGGUCCGCUAAGUUCGGCGUGAAAUCCCCUGGCUCAACUGGGGAACUGCGCUGGAUACUGGUGGACUCGAGUACCGGAGAGGAGAGUGGAAUUCCUGGUGUAGCGGUGAAAUGCGUAGAUAUCAGGAAGAACACCCGUGGCUAAGGCGGCUCUUUGGUCUGUAACUGACGCUGAGGCGCGAAAGCGUGGGGAGCGAACAGG
rnacentral:rRNA from 1 species